GAUGAACGCUGGCGGCGUGCCUAAUACAUGCAAGUCGAGCGAACAGACGAGGAGCUUGCUCCUCUGACGUUAGCGGCGGACGGGUGAGUAACACGUGGAUAACCUACCUAUAAGACUGGGAUAACUUCGGGAAACCGGAGCUAAUACCGGAUAAUAUAUUGAACCGCAUGGUUCAAUAGUGAAAGACGGCUUUGCUGUCACUUAUAGAUGGAUCCGCGCCGCAUUAGCUAGUUGGUAAGGUAACGGCUUACCAAGGCAACGAUGCGUAGCCGACCUGAGAGGGUGAUCGGCCACACUGGAACUGAGACGCGGUCCAGAGUACUACGGGAGGCAGCAGUAGGGAAUCUUACGCAAUGGGCGAAAGCCUGCCGGAGCAACGCCGCGUGAGUGAUGAAGGUCUUCGGAUCGUAAAACUCUGUUAUUAGGGAAGAACAAAUGUGUAAGUAACUAUGCACGUCUUGACGGUACCUAAUCAGAAAGCCACGGCUAACUACGUG
rnacentral:rRNA from 1 species